rnacentral:rRNA from 1 species
AUUCCAGCUCCGAUAGCUUAUAUUAAAAUUGUUGCAGCUAAAAACCUCGUAGUUGGAUCUCUGCUGAGGGCAACCGGUCCGUCCUCUGGGUGAAUAUCUGGCUCGGCCUUGGCAUCUUCUUGGGGAACGUAACUGCACUUGAGUGUGGGGUGCGGUAUCCAAGCGUUUUACUCUGAAGAAAUUAGAGUGUUUCAAGCAGGCGCACGCCUUGAAUACAUUAGCAUGGAAUAAUAAGAUAGGACCUUGGUUCUUUUUUGUUGGUUUCUGAACAUGAGGUAAUGAUUAAUACGGAUACGUGGGGGCAUUCAUAUUUAAGCGUCAGGGGCGAAAUUCUUGGAUUUGCGAAAGACGGACUACUGCGAAAGCAUUUGCCAAGGAUGCUUUCAUUG